rnacentral:misc_RNA from 1 species
CCGAGCUUACAACUCCCAAACCCAAUGUGAACGUUACCAAACUGUUGCCUCGGCGGGGUCACGCCCCGGGUGCGUAAAAGCCCCGGAACCAGGCGCCCGCCGGAGGAACCAACCAAACUCUUUCUGUAGUCCCCUCGCGGACGUAUUUCUUACAGCUCUGAGCAAAAAUUCAAAAUGAAUCA